CCUACGGGGGGCAGCAGUGGGGAAUUUUGGACAAUGGGCGAAAGCCUGAUCCAGCAAUGCCGCGUGCAGGACGAAGGCCUUCGGGUUGUAAACUGCUUUUGUACGGAACGAAAAAGCUCUUUCUAAUAAAGAGAGCUCAUGACGGUACCGUAAGAAUAAGCACCGGCUAACUACGUGCCAGCAGCCGCGGUAAUACGUAGGGUGCAAGCGUUAAUCGGAAUUACUGGGCGUAAAGCGUGCGCAGGCGGUUAUAUAAGACAGAUGUGAAAUCCCCGGGCUCAACCUGGGACCUGCAUUUGUGACUGUAUAGCUAGAGUACGGUAGAGGGGGAUGGAAUUCCGCGUGUAGCAGUGAAAUGCGUAGAUAUGCGGAGGAACACCGAUGGCGAAGGCAAUCCCCUGGACCUGUACUGACGCUCAUGCACGAAAGCGUGGGGAGCAAACAGGAUUAGAUACCCCGGUAGUC
rnacentral:rRNA from 1 species